AUGCCAUCCCCGCCACCGCUCACCCAACACCACCACCACCACCGCAACCGCCACCUCCUCAUUCCGCUCCUCACCGUAACCCUAACCGUCACUCUCCUCUCCGCCCUCGUCUUCAUUGUCUUCCUCUACCGCAAGCUCUCCAGAAGCCGCACGACGCCGUUCGAUCACCAGAAUAGUAACACCACCGCCGUUAACGCCGCCGUCGAUAGUAACAAUGAGAACGGCAACAGCAGCAGAAGCCAGCAGCAGCAGAAAAAGUUCUCGUACUCUGUUCUGCGCCGCGCCACCGGUUCGUUCUCGGCGUCGAACCGGCUCGGCCACGGCGGGUUCGGGUCGGUGUACAAGGCCACGCUCCCUUCCGGCCAAUCCCUCGCCGUGAAAGUGAUGGACUCCGAGGGGUCUUUACAAGGCGAGCGUGAGUUUCACAAUGAACUCUCUCUGGCUUUGAACCUCAGCAAUCCUCACAUACUUUCUCUCCUCGGCUUCUCCACCGACCGCCGUGGCCGGAAGCUGUGCUUAGUCUACGAGCUCAUGCCGAAUCGGAGCCUCCAGGAGGCUCUGCUGGACCGGAAGUGCCCGGAGCUCAUGGCGUGGAAGAAGCGGUUCAGUGUGGUUCUGGAUGUUGCGAGAGGACUGGAGUAUCUGCAUGACGACUGUGACCCGCCGGUGAUUCACGGCGACGUGAAGCCGAGCAAUGUGCUGCUGGACUCGGAUUUCAACGCCAAGAUCGGAGAUUUCGGGCUGGCGAGGCUGAAAACGGAGGCGGAGUUCGAUCAGGGAGAUCAGGUAGUGGUGGUGGAGGAAGGAGACGAGGGAGAGGCUGAGAAAAAAGAGGUUCUUGAAGUGGCGGUGGCGGUUGGGGAUGAUAACGGUUCGAUCUUGGAGGAGGAGAGCAUGAGUUUCAGUGUGGUGACCGGUGGAUUGGAAGACGGGAGGUCGCCGGAUUGUUGCGUGGUGAGGAUUUCGGAUUCGGAGGCGUCGCCGGUGGCGGCGGCGGCGGCGGGGUUGUCGCCGGAGGGGGUUUUGAUAAGUUUAGUGUUGACAGUGAGAAGGAGUUGGUUAGUGGGAAGAGGAUUAAGGGAAGUUCGGGGAGGGAUUGGUGGUGGAAGCAGGACAAUGGAGGAGGAGGAGGGUCUGAGUCUGGGAGGGUGAAGGAUUAUGUAAUGGAGUGGAUUGGGAGUGAGAUUAAGAAAGAGAGGCCGAAGAGCGAAUGGGUUGCUUCUCCGAGUACUAAUAGUGAGCCGAAGAAGCGCAGGAAGAAGUUGGAGUGGUGGGUGUCGUUGGAUGAGGACAAGGUGAAGAAGAAGGAGAAGGCUAGGAAGCCGAGGGAGUGGUGGAAGGAGGAAUUUUGCGAUGAGCUUAGUAAGAAAAAGAAGAAGAAGAAGAGGGGGUUUGAUUCGGGUUGCGGUGGAGAUUUGUGGUGGCAGAAAGACGAGGAGGAUAUGGGGUCGGAGAGGAAGAAGAGGAAGAGUAAGAGCAAGAGUAGUAGAGGUAGCAUUGAUUGGUGGUUAGACGGAUUUGGUAGUGAGCUGAGAAGUGGGAGGAGGAAUAGUCAAGACUGGGCUAGUUGCGGUGGUGGUGAUAUACCAAAGAGUGGUGGCAUUAGUAGCACACCGAGCAUGAGAGGCACGGUUUGUUAUGUUGCUCCUGAAUAUGGUGGUGGAGGGCAGCUCUCUGAGAAAUGCGAUGUGUAUAGCUUCGGCGUUUUGGUUUUGGUGUUGAUUUCGGGGCGGAGGCCGCUCCAAGUAACAGCCUCCCCCAUGUCGGAAUUUGAGAGGGCCAAUCUGAUUUCAUGGGCUAGGCAGCUUGCUCGAAAUGGGAAGCUUUUGGACCUUGUAGACCAGUCUAUACAUUCUUUGAACAAGGAAGAGGCAUUGCUUUGUAUCACAAUUGCAUUGCUCUGUUUGCAAAGAACACCAGGCAAACGGCCAACCAUGAAGGAAAUUGUAGGGAUGCUGACGGGUGAAGCCGAGCCGCCCCAUUUGCCCUUCGAGUUCUCACCAUCCCCGCCUUCCAACUUUCCGUUCAAGUCCCGGAAAAAGGCCCGGUGAGUUUUUUUAUUUUGUGAUUCCAUUGACUGUAGAGUGUACUUUUGUAGGUCGUUUCUAAUUAUGAUGUUGUGUAGAAUUUCUUGCUUAAAAGUGAAGAAAGCU